UCCGGGGUAGUUCAGUGGUAGAACGCGUGACUGUUAAUCACGAUGUCGCAGGUUCGAAUCCUGCCUCCGGAGCCA
rnacentral:tRNA from 1 species